AACCUGCCCUGGACUCUGGGAUAACCGCUGGAAACGGCGUCUAAUACUGGAUAUGAGCUCCUUCCGCAUGGUGGGGGUUGGAAAGAUUUUUCGGUCUGGGAUGGGCUCGCGGCCUAUCAGCUUGUUGGUGAGGUAAUGGCUCACCAAGGCGUCCACGGGUAGCCGGCCUGAAAGGGUGACCGGCCACACUGGGACUGAGACACGGCCCAGACUCCUACGGGAGGCAGCAGUGGGGAAUAUUGCACAAUGGGCGGAAGCCUGAUGCAGCAACGCCGCGUGAGGGAUGACGGCCUUCGGGUUGUAAACCUCUUUUAGCAGGGAAGAAGCGAAAGUGACGGUACCUGCAGAAAAAGCGCCGGCUAACUACGUGCCAGCAGCCGCGGUAAUACGUAGGGCGCAAGCGUUAUCCGGAAUUAUUGGGCGUAAAGAGCUCGUAGGCGGUUUGUCGCGUCUGCUGUGAAAUCCCGAGGCUCAACCUCGGGCCUGCAGUGGGUACGGGCAGACUACAGUGCGGUAGGGGAGAUUGCAAUUCCUGGUGUAGCGGUGGAAUGCGCACAUAUCUCGAGGAACACCGAUGGCGAAGGCAGAUCUCUGGGCCGUAACUGACGCUGAGGAGCGAAAGGAUGGGGAGCAAACACGCUUAGAUACCCUGGUAGUCCACCCCGUAAACGUUGGGAACUAGUUGUGUGGACCAUUCCACC
rnacentral:rRNA from 1 species